AAAAAAAGCCGGAAUAGCUUCAG
rnacentral:tRNA from 2 species